UUUUCUCUCCAAGCAUAUAAGUCCCAGACCAGGUAGAAAACGAGCUCAAUACUGAUCUUCUGCGAGGUCGAAUUGGAGAUGGAUUUGAAGACAGAGGCCAAAUCGGAGAUGGAACCAUACAUGGGUCUUCAACGAAAAGUCCCAGAGUGUUGGAAGCUUGCAACUCGGCGCCUUGCUUCUCUCUGUGAGAAAUCAGAUGCAGAGAGGGAAACUCUGUGUUGGAUAUUAUGUGGCUAUGACGGGGUUCUCUGCUUUGCUUAUCAGCAUUGCAACAUUUCUCCCAUGUUGUGAGAAUCAUGGAUAAAUGUUUCUUCAGAGAAUAAACAUGGUUUUUCCUUUUCACAGAGACGAAGGAGCUGGUGAUAGUUUUUCUUGGAGAAAUUGAGCUCAUUUGAACAAAUAGGAAUAUCCGAUUGAGCUGGCACCCAUUUAAUCAAAUUGGGGGAUUUGAUUGAGCAAUCAGAGAUCUUUGAAGGAUUGAGCUCCGGUGUGAUUGUGGAAUCCCUGAAGGUGCUUAGCUUGCAAGGAUUUGCCUCAAUUUUGGAGCCUAACCUCUGCAGAAUUGCACGAUAUCGGCAUAUUGCUUUUGCUCCAGUCUGGCAAUGAGAAUGAGGUAUCAUUUAAUUGUGAAAGAAAGCUUUGGAGGAGAACAUAAUUGUGUAUCUGGAAACUGGUUGUGGAAAGACCUAAAUAGCCGUGUUGCUUAUGUAUGAACCAGUUGAUACUCAAACCUCAGAA